rnacentral:rRNA from 1 species
UACGGAAGGUCCUAGCGUUGUUCGGAAUUACUGGGCGUAAAGCGCAUGUAGGCGGAACAGAAAGUUAGAAGUGAAAUCCCUGGGCUCAACCUAGGAAUUGCUUUUAAAACUUCUGUUCUGGAAUUCAGGAGAGGAAAAUGGAAUAUCCAGUGUAGAGGUGAAAUUCGUAGAUAUUGGAUGGAACACCAGUGGCGAAGGCGAUUUUCUGGACUGAUAUUGACGCUGAGAUGCGAAGGCAUGGGUAGCAAAC